rnacentral:rRNA from 1 species
AUGGCGCCGUGGCCGCUUCCCCUCUGUGCCCCUCGGCCCCCCUGCCCUGUGCGUCUGUGUAGCUCGUCCGCACCUCCCUCGUCGCCUUCUCGUGCCACCCCGUGCUCGCGGCACGUCGCCAGAGCUUUGGCCGAGCUCGAAGGGCGGCAACCGGCUCGGCACCUCGCCCUGCGCCUAUAUAAGAGCCACCACGAGGCCGUUCGACCUCACCACCAGCCUCACACCACCUCCAGCAACCUCCCCGGCCUCUUCCUCGAGCUCCAGAGCCCCUCCCCACCUCUCUCUGCCGCCAUGGCCGCCGCACGGCCUCGGCUAAAUUCGUCCUACGCCGAGCCCCUCUCCACUUAUUUCUGCCACCAGAAGCUCACCCGUAGUCCAGCGAUCCUUCCCAUCUCCUCCAUUCAUCGUCGGAGCCCCUGCUGCCGUCGUCUUCAAGCUCAACAGCCGCCGCUUCCUCUAUUCUCGGCAGUCGCGCAAGCCCCGUCGCUCCACUCCUCCCCGACGCCCGUUCUACCUCAGAAUGGACGCGGCGCACCUCUCUGA